rnacentral:rRNA from 1 species
GACGAACGCUGGCGGCGCGCUUAACACAUGCAAGUCGAGCGAAGCGGCGGACGGGUGAGUAACACGUGAGUAACCUGUCUUAGACAUUGGGAUAGCCUCGGGAAACCGGGAUUAAUACCAAAUGGUCUAAGAGGGACUCGCGUCACAUUCGCUAGUUGGUGAGGUAACGGCCCACCAAGGAGACGAUGGGUAGCAGGCCUUAGAGGGUGAACGGCCAGAUUGGAAAUGAGAAACGGUCGAAGCUCUACGAGAGGCAGCAGUGGGGAAUAUUGCACAAUGGAGGGAACUCUGAUGCAGCGACCCCGCGUGAACGAAGGAGGCUUUCGAGUCGUAAAGUUCUGUUAUAUGGGAAGCGGUACCAUAAGAAAAGGCCCCGGCUAACUCCGGGCCAGCCGCCGCGGUAAUAC